GAUGAAGAACGUAGCGAAAUGCGAUAAGUAAUGUGAAUUGCAGAUUUCAGUGAAUCAUCGAAUCUUUGAACGCACCUUGCGCCUUGUGGUAUUCCACAAGGCAUGCCCGUUUGAGUAUCAUUAAAUCAUCAACUCUAAAACCUUUGUGGUUUUUUUAGAGCUUGGUCUUGAGGGUUUUGCAGGCUUUUUUUUUCGAGUCUGCUCCCUUUAAAUGCAUUAGCGAGACUUCCCUAUGCUGAGCCGUCUCUUUGACGUGAUAAUUAUCUGCGUCGAAUUUUGGUUCUCGUUGGGCUUGCUUCUAAUCGUCUGUUAAAGACAAAACGGAUUUGGGUGCAUAUAUGCGCCUUUUUCCAAAACCUUUUUUGAUCUCAAAUCGGGUAGGACUACCCGCUGAACUUAAGCAUAUCAAUAAGCGGAGGA
rnacentral:misc_RNA from 1 species